GACGAACGCUGGCGGCGUGCUUAACACAUGCAAGUCGAACGAUGAAGCUGGAGCUUGCUCCGGUGGAUCAGUGGCGAACGGGUGAGUAACACGUGAGCAAUCUGCCCUUGACUCUGGGAUAACUGCAGGAAACUGUAGCUAAUACCGGAUAUGAGGCUCGAAGGCAUCUUCGGGUCUGGAAAGAAUUUCGGUCAAGGAUGAGCUCGCGGCCUAUCAGCUUGUUGGUGAGGUAAUGGCUCACCAAGGCGACGACGGGUAGCCGGCCUGAGAGGGUGACCGGCCACACUGGGACUGAGACACGGCCCAGACUCCUCCGGGAGGCAGCAGUGGGGAAUAUUGCACAAUGGGCGAAAGCCUGAUGCAGCAACGCCGCGUGAGGGAUGAAGGCCUUCGGGUUGUAAACCUCUUUUAGCAGGGAAGAAGCGAAAGUGACGGUACCUGCAGAAAAAGCACCGGCUAACUACGUGCCAGCCGCCGCAGUAA
rnacentral:rRNA from 1 species